AGAGGAUCAGCCUGAGCAAAGGGCAAGUGGUGGAAGAGCCGUGGCUCUGGGCCCUUCGGUGGCUGUUGGUUGUGGACGAGCUUAUGGGUAUCUGGGAACACCCUGACUCUGUCCCAGUUUUCUCUCCCUUUGGAGUUCCUGGGGUGGGUUAUGAUCUGCUGCAAUGCUUUUCCUGGUCUUCGUUCCCUGCUUAUGUUUGUUCUGAAAGCUUGCCCAUCCUUGCCAGUGGAUUUGCCAUGUCUAAACAACAGGACAGAAGAAGAGACUCUGAAAUGGUGCUAAUCAGGGCAUUUUACAGACAGGAGUCAGUAAAAUUAUUUGAAUGUAUUCAAUCUGCUGAAGCUGAAGCUCCGAUACUUUGGCCACCUGAUUUGAAGAGCUGACUUACUAGAAAAGACCUGACUCAUUGGAAAAGACCCUGAUGCUGGGAAAGAUUGAAGACGAAAGAAGUAGGCUGCAGAAGAUGAGAUGGUUGGAUGGCAUCACUGACUCAGUGGACAUGAAUCUGAGCAAACUCCUGGAGACAGUGAAGAACAGGAAAGCCUGGCAUGCUGAUACCCAUAGGGUCGCAAAGAGUUGGACCUGACUGAACAACAAUAACAAAUUCAGUCUGCCAUCAUAACCUUUAUAUAGGUACUUUAUUAUGUUCUUCUUAAGGCUAUUUUUUAUAAUGAUUUUAUCUUGGUUUAUCAUUAUAUUAAUAAUAUUAUUUUCUUUAAUCAUUUCACAUAUGCUGAUUUUCUAACUUUUUCACAUUAUAGAAACCCUCAAAUUGCUGAAGUAAGACUUUUUAUCAAGGUGAAACUAUUUUCCUCUGUGGUUUGUAUUUUUUUUUUUGACUGUGAGCCUUUCUCAUCAUUCAACACACCUCUUCCCCACCCGCAUUCCUGUGGGAAUUGUAUGUCUUGUUCAUGGCAGAAAUGUUGGAUAAUAGUCUGGCAUUUCCAUCUGUAUCUCACCUGCUCCACAUGAAGUUAUGUUAAUUUCCUAGCUUGAGGCUUCUUGCAUUUCAUAAAUCAUGUAAAUUCUGAUUCAGUAUGCUUGUGUUUUGGAGGCAUGGAUCUUAUUUUCUCAUGGUAGAAUUACUUGCAUUCAGAGAGCUUCCUUAUGGGUUGACCAGGCUGCUAGUGCUUCUUGCACUGAGAGGGCUGUUCUUCUAGGCUCCUGGAUAUAGGCAGGGUAGCCUAUAGUUUCAGUUGCUACUUUGUAAGGACUCAAUCUUGUGUCUCAGAUUAACUUUCCCAGAGCAGCGCUGAGGUGAAGAUCCAUGGUAAAGUAAUUUAUUAGCAGGUGUUCCCAGAAAAGAUAGGGGUUUGGAAAAACAAGACUGGAAAAGGAAUUUUGUCAGGCAAGGGCAUAGUAUCAAGCAGAGUCCCAGCCAGG
rnacentral:lncRNA from 1 species